rnacentral:rRNA from 1 species
CCUACGGGAGGCAGCAGUGAGGAAUAUUGGUCAAUGGACGAGAGUCUGAACCAGCCAAGUAGCGUGAAGGAUGACUGCCCUAUGGGUUGUAAACUUCUUUUAUAAAGGAAUAAAACGAGGCACGUGUGCCUUUUUGCAUGUACUUUAUGAAUAAGGAUCGGCUAACUCCGUGCCAGCAGCCGCGGUAAUACGGAGGAUCCGAGCGUUAUCCGGAUUUAUUGGGUUUAAAGGGAGCGUAGAUGGGUUGUUAAGUCAGUGGUGAAAGUUUGCGGCUCAACCGUAAAAUUGCAAUUGAUACUGGUAGUCUUGAGUACAGUUGAGGUAGGCGGAAUGCGUGGUGUAGCGGUGAAAUGCUUAGAUAUCACGAAGAACCCCGAUUGCGAAGGCAGCUUACUAAACUGUGACUGACAUUGAUGCUCGAAAGUGUGGGUAUCAAACAGGAUUAGAUACCCGGGUAGUC